rnacentral:rRNA from 1 species
GUGGGGAAUAUUGCGCAAUGGGGGAAACCCUGACGCAGCGACGCCGUGUGAGGGAAGAAGGCCUUCGGGUCGUAAACCUCUGUCGGGAGGGAAGAACCGCCGGUUUCCGAACAGGGAGCCGGUCUGACGGUACCUCCGAAGGAGGCGCCGGCUAACUCCGUGCCAGCAGCCGCGGUAAUACGGGGGGCGCGAGCGUUAAUCGGAAUCACUGGGCGUAAAGCGCGCGUAGGCGGCCAGAUAAGUCGGGCGUGAAAGCCCUCGGCUCAACCGGGGAACUGCGUUCGAUACUGUUUGGCUUGAGUCCUGGAGAGGGUGGCGGAAUUCCGGGUGUAGGAGUGAAAUCCGUAGAUAUCCGGAGGAACACCGGUGGCGAAGGCGGCCACCUGGACAGGUACUGACGCUGAGGUGCGAAAGCGUGGGGAGCAAACAG